rnacentral:rRNA from 1 species
AUUGAACGCUGGCGGCAGGCCUAACACAUGCAAGUCGAACGGUAGCACAGAGAGCUUGCUCUCGGGUGACGAGUGGCGGACGGGUGAGUAACGUCUGGGAAACUGCCCGAUGGAGGGGGAUAACUACUGGAAACGGUAGCUAAUACCGCACAACGUCACAAGACCAAAGUGGGGGACCUUCGGGCCUCACACCAUCGGAUGUGCCCAGAUGGGAUUAGCUAGUAGGUGGGGUAAUGGCUCACCUAGGCGAGGAUCCCUAGCUGGUCUGAGAGGAUGACCAGCCACACUGGAACUGAGACACGGUCCAGACUCCUACGGGAGGCAGCAGUGGGGAAUAUUGCACAAUGGGCGCAAGCCUGAUGCAGCCAUGCCGCGUGUAUGAAGAAGGCCUUCGGGUUGUAAAGUACUUUCAGCGGGGAGGAAGGCGGUGAAGUUAAUAGCUUCACCGAUUGACGUUACCCGCAGAAGAAGCACCGGCUAACUCCGUGCCAGCAGCCGCCGUAA